GGCGCGGGGUCGGGCUGCGCGGUGGGCGCCGCCGCCAUGGGCCUGGGCGCCAGCGCCGAGCCGCCGGCGGGCGGUGCCGAGGGCUUCCACCUGCACGGGGUGCAGGAGAACUCGCCCGCCCAGCAGGCCGGCCUGGAGCCCUACUUUGACUUCAUCAUCACCAUCGGGCACUCGAGGCUGAACAAGGAGAACGGCAAGCUGAAGGCCCUGCUGAAGGCCAACGUGGAGAAGCCCGUGAAGCUGGAGGUGUUCAGCACGAAGACCAUGAAGGUGCGCGAGGUGGAGGUGGUGCCCAGCAACAUGUGGGGCGGCCAGGGCCUGCUGGGCGCCAGCGUGCGCUUCUGCAGCUUCCGCAGGGCCAGCGAGCACGUGUGGCACGUGCUGGAAGUGGAGCCCUCCUCACCCGCCUCGCUCGCCGGCCUGCGCCCCUACACUGACUACGUGGUUGGCUCGGACCAGAUCCUCCAGGAGUCCGAGGACUUCUUCACGCUCAUCGAGUCCCAUGAGGGGAAGCCCUUGAAGCUGAUGGUUUACAACUGCGAGUCCGACUCCUGCCGGGAGGUGACUGUAACGCCCAACGCGGCCUGGGGUGGAGAGGGCAGCUUGGGGUGUGGCAUCGGCUACGGGUACCUGCACCGGAUCCCAACGCAGCCCGCCAGCGCGCACAGGAGGCCGCCUGGCGCCCCGACCCCCGACGCUGUCCCUCCGGGCUUCCCCGCCCCGCCUGGCCCAGAGAUGGGGGGCCCGGAGACGGCGGUCCCCAGGCAGGGUGACUACACGGAGGCCGUGCUGCAGGCGCCCGGCCCCUCGGAGGAGGAGCAGCUUUCUGAGCCCGGGAGCCCCUGCCGGGCCGCUGCAGACCGGGGGGCACUGGCUCGGCCCACGGAGGCCCCUCUUCAGCCCCCGCCUCCGGUGCGGCGCGUCAUGGACCCAGGCUUCCUGGACGUGGCGGGCCUCUCCCUGUUGGACAACAGCAGUGCCAGCCUGCAGCCCAGCCUGCCCGCCUGCACGGAGCUCACGCCCACGGCGCUGGCAGCCCCCGGGCCCGGGGACGGGUACCCCAGCGGCGGCGCUCACGAGCGUGGCGGCGAGGCCACGUGGUCCGGGUCAGAGUCUGAGGUCUCCUUCCCGGACAGCCCAGGCACCCAGGCCCCGCAGGGCGCCCUGCCGCAGCUGACCCUUCCCGACAGCCUCGCGUCUGCCACCGCGCCGGAGGACGGGCUGUCCGCGGAGCUGCUCGAAGCGCAGGCUGAGGACGAGCCUGCGAGCCUGGAGAGCCUGGGUCCGGGGGCGCAGGCCCAGCUGUCCGCCCCGGAGUAGCGCCCCAGGCUGUGACGGCCUAGAGCUGGGGCCAUAGCUGCGGCCACACUGCAGCCCCUUCGCCAGCCCCCGCCCCACGCGUCCGGCUUCCUAGGCCGCAGCCCCCGGCGACGUGCAGGGACCUCCGCGGGCACGGGCUCGGGACCCUCAGACCCAGCUGGUCUCCGGGAGGGGCCGUCUCAGCACUAACUCUGCUGCGGGGAGUCGGGCACCUGCGAGUCUCCCACCAGCCCCCCUGGGGUGGGGCAGAGCGAGCGGGUGGCCGGAGGCGGGUGCUGGUCCCCGCUCAGGUCCCUGGGCAGCCCG